UACGUAGGGUGCGAGCGUUAAUCGGAAUUACUGGGCGUAAAGCGUGCGCAGGCGGUUUUGUAAGCCAGAUGUGAAAUCCCCGGGCUUAACCUGGGAAUGGCAUUUGGGACUGCAAGGCUGGAGUUUGGCAGAGGAGACUGGAAUUCCUGGUGUAGCAGUGAAAUGCGUAGAUAUCAGGAGGAAUACCGAUGGCGGAAGGCAGGUCUCUGGGCUAUAACUGACGCUCAUGCAUGAAAGCGUGGGGAGCAAAC
rnacentral:rRNA from 1 species